UGGGUAAUCCAAGCCUCGGCAGGUACAGUUCCUCCCUCAGGGCCCAGGACACAGUGAGCAUACAAUAGACAUUAGCUGCUGUGGUGUCUUGAUUUCAAGCCCAGUGCAGAUGCAUCUGACUUACGAAACUUCAGUGACACCUGCUCUGUGCCAGACACUGAAGAUGGAGCAGUGAACAGCACUGACCCAGCCUGUCCUCCUGUUGCCUGCAGGCCAGACGGAGUCUCACUCUGUCACCAGGCUGGAGUACAGUGGUGUGAUCUCGGCUCACUGCAACCUCCGCCUCCCAGGUUCAAGCGAUUCUCCUGCCUCAGCCUCUCAAGUAGCUGAGAUUACAGACGUGUGUCACCAUGCCCUGUUAAUUUUUGUUUGUUUGUUUUGUUUUUUGUUUUGUUUUGUUUCGUUUUUUGUUUUUUUUUUUUGAGACGGAGUCUUGCUCUGUCGCCCAGGCUGGAGUGCAGUGGCCCCGAUCUCGGCUCACCGCAAGCUCCGCCUCGCGGGUUCAUGCCAUUCUCCGCCUGGGCAACAUAGUGAGACUCUGUCUCAAAUAAAUAAAUAAAGUGAGGAGAAAAAAAUACCAUCUCUGUCUUCACAGAACUUAUAGUUUGAGAGGGGAGAAUCCCACAAGUAAAUUAUAAAUCUCAGCUGAGAUUAUGCAAAGAA
rnacentral:lncRNA from 10 species